ACACGCAUGACACACUGCAUAUCAAUAAGCGGAGGAAAAGAAACUAACAAGGAUUCCCUUAGUAACGGCGAGUGAAGCGGGAAGAGCUCAAAUUUGAAAUCUUCAAGGUUUUACCUUGACGAAUUGUAGUUUAAAGAAGUGUUUUCUGUUGAAGUUUUGGUAAAAGUUCUUUGGAAUAGGACAUCAUAGAGGGUGAGAAUCCCGUAUUUGACCAUUAUUUUCAGCUGUGUGAUACACUUUCAAAGAGUCGGAUUGUUUGGGAAUGCAGUCCAAAAUGGGUGGUAAAUUUCAUCUAAAGCUAAAUAUUGGCGAGAGACCGAUAGCGAACAAGUACCGUGAGGGAAAGAUGAAAAGAACUUUGAAAAGAGAGUUAAACAGUACGUGAAAUUGUCAAAAGGGAAGCGUUUGACACCAGUGUUGUUUUCUCGAAAAUCAAUUAAAAAAGGCCGGAUUUUGUGUUGUAUUGACCUUAAAAGCUUUCUUCACUCUUUUCUUGUCUUUUUUAAUGCACUUUUCGUUUAACAAGUCAACAUCAGUUUCUUUUGUUGUAAAAGGGUCAUUGGAAGGUGGCUUUCUUUUCGGAGAAAGUGUUUAUAGCCUUUGAUCUCUGCAACCGGAGAGACUGAGGUCUGCAGCGUAGACUCUUCGGGGUUAAAUACAUUUGUGCUAAGCUAUAGCUUUUUAUAGACAACUUGUUGACUAUAUUUAGUCUUGUGGCUUACUCGCUUAUGCUAUUUUACCUACGCUUAGGAUGUUGAGCGCAUGUCUCUCUCU
rnacentral:rRNA from 1 species